GUUUAUAAUCAGUCUAUUUAUGGACUUAUUCUGAAGUAAAAACAAUAGGUAUAUUUUUGUGGCUAAAGUUGUUACUGCUGAGAAGACAGAAACCAGGAAGCUGUGAUGAUGUGAUGCAAAGAUUAUCCUAAACUCAAAAAAUGUCACCUGGUCAUCAAUGAUCUCUGCCUCUAGGUUCUCUCCAUGGACAUUCAGGGGAGAGAGCACUGCUAAAUGGCAAGUAACUAUAAUGUACUCAAUUGUUAUUCUCUCAUCUGUUUCUCGUACCAUUGAAAUUCUCAUGUUGAAACUCUUAAUGAUCAUCUGCCUUAACUCACACAGAGACAUGUUUUUACAUGAUUAUAUGUCUUCAUCUUAUCCUUCCAACUUAGGUUACCUGUCUUCAUGUACUAUUCAGUUUAAGUGGUUAUUGCCUCUUUCAUAUUGUAGUCAUUGCUAAAAAUCAAGGAGACAGAGACUUUCUGUAACUAGUAUUUUUCACCUAGCUAUGUGUCACAGUGGAGUAUCUUAAGGUUCUGUUAUGUCAGUUUUCUCCAACACAGACUCUUUUACAUUUAGAUCAAUCUUCACUUCCAUGUAACACCUCUUCCUAUUACAUUUCUGUUACACAAUUUGGAAUGAUGAGUUUUCCCUCAUAAGAGUUUAUGGGAGAUUUGGAGUUCCCGUCAUUGAGCAGUGGAAAACGAAUCCAACUAGGAGCCAUGAGGUUUCGGGUUCGGUCCCUGCCCUUACUCAGUGGGUUAAUGAUCCGGCAUUGCUGUGAGCUGUGGUGUAGGUUGCAGAUGUGAUUCGGAUCCCGUGUUGCUGUGUCUCU
rnacentral:lncRNA from 1 species